rnacentral:rRNA from 1 species
GACGAACGCUGGCGGCGCGCUUAACACAUGCAAGUCGAACGGAAAGGCCUGCUUUCCCUUGUGGAUUGCGGGUACUCGAGUGGCGAACGGGUGAGUAACACGUGAGUGAUCUGCCCCCAACUUGGGUAUAAGCCUGGGAAACUGGGUCUAAUUCCCGAUAGGACUGCAGGGUGGUGCCUGUGGUGGAAAACGAUUUUCUAGUGGUUGGGGAUGAGCUCGCGGCCUAUCAGCUUGUUGGUGGGGUAAUGGCCUACCAAGGCGGGGACGGGUAGCCGGCCUGGGAGAGUGGACGGCCACAGUGGGACUGAGAUACGGCCCAGACUCGUACGGGAGGCAGCAGUGGGGAAUAUUGCACAAUGGGCGGAAGCCUGAUGCAGCGACGCCGCGUGGGGGAUGACGGCCUUCGGGUGGUAAACUCCUUUCGACCGCGAGGAAGCCACCUGGUUGGAAGGGUGGUGACGGUAGUGGUAGAAGAAGCACCGGCUAACUACGUG